rnacentral:tRNA from 1 species
GCCGGGGUGGCCGAACGGCUCAGGCGACGGGCUGCAGACCCGUAGUAUGUGGGUUCAACUCCCACCCCCGGCU